UUCGUCAAAUUCUGUCUGCAAAGCGAGAAAGUAUAAAUUCUACAGUCUCGCAAUUAGAAUGUUCUCGUUGUUAUCAGUUCUUGCACCAAAUCGAGCUCGCGGCCGUCGAUUCUUUCCGCAUCGAGGGUUCAAGGUCAGUACGCCAGUUCCGCGCCCCAGGGUCGAUAAGGUUUCCCGUGCUGUUGCUGGGGAUACUGACCCGGAUACUGGCCCCAGCCGCCCAGAAGAGGCGGCAUGGUCCCCGGACCUGGUGGCAUCCCGGUGGAGACUGUACUCGGGGGCGGUUCGUAGCUGCUGGCGGUGGAGGUCGACGUCAACGUCGUGGACGCCGCCGAGGGCACCGCCGAAGGUACGGCUGACGGUGGAUGGUCCCGGUGGAAGCUCUGCAGGUGCGACAGCAGUCGUAACCGGAGCGGAUCUCUCUCGUCCAGGCCCUCCAUAGUCACCAGAACUGACUCGAGGGACGAGAAAGGACGAAGAGAGAGAGAGAGAGAGACACUCACCUUUAUUGCGAAGAGUGCGCAGAUGCUCGACAGUGAGCUGCAGGAUCUCGGCUUUCUCGAGCUUUCCGCUGUGAGGAUCCCUGGCUGCUGCCGGUACCAAUCUCCUGAGCUCGCCGAGGGACGCGUUGAUCCUGUCGCGACGCUUCUUCUCGAUCAUCCCCCUCCUGCGUUUUCGCGACGCGUGCUGGCAGGAGUCGCCUCCGGGCGAGUUGCAUCUGCGACGGGAAUUUCGAGCAAGGGUUGAGAGAGACGCAUAAAAAGCAACAACAAUUGUGGAUUCAAGGGCGAAGAUUUUUAAAUCAUUCCGGACGAGUGUUCUGCAUUGCGGUCGAAUCGAUUGCGCUCUCAGUCGAAUAAUGCAGUCAAAGUCGAUACGCCGAAACACCGCUGACAUUCGUCAGUAUUUAAAAAAAAAAAAUCGUCUGACUCGGAAGAAAGGGACAAUGCGCGUCUGAGUCACCGGGCCAUUAAGCAUUGUGCAGGUUACGAUAUCAAUGACUUAGAUCGUUCCGUAUUACGAACCGUGAGUAGGGCCAAAGUAUCCGGCUUCCGGUCCGCACGCGACUUCUGCACGUGAAGACACGUGGCGCAAAUCGAGGCGUUUGCAUAUAUGCACGUAUACACACGCAUGUGCAUCAAGAAGUGCAUAUCUGCGUCGAUGUUCUUCAAUAUCCGCUUUUUUUAUAUUUUUCUAUAAAGUCAUUAUUUGCAUUCUGUCGAUAAAGUAUAAAGCUAUAUUUCUCUGACAUCGUCACAAUGAGUUUAGAAUUUUGACAGAAUAUAUUUUUUCUUUGAGAUCUAAAUCUUUUUACAGAUAGAAGAAGAAGGCUUUUUAAUUUCGAAAUGCCAUCCAUCUUUAUAUAUUGAGUAAAUAAAAAAAUAAUCCCUUCGAUGUUCUUCAAUAUUCGCUUUUUUCUAUUUUUCUAUAUAAAUUCAUUAUUUGCAUUCUGUUAAUAAAGUAUGAAGCUAUAUUUCUCUGACAUCGUCGCAAUAAGUUUAGAAUUUUGACAAAAUAUAUUUUUUCUUUGGGAUCUAAAUCUUUUUGCAGAUAGAAGAAGAAGGCUUUUUAAUUUAGAAAUGCCAUACAUCUUUAUAUAUCGAGUAAAUAAAAAAAUAAUAAAACUCCGAUGUCUCUCUCCCCCUUAAUUUUUGCAUUUUGCAAUUCCGGGGAAUCGGCCGUAUCUGUCGUUUCCGACGCGGAAAGCCCGGGUACUUUCUAUCGGCAAAUAUUUAUUCAUAAUUUCGUUUCAAUCAUGCAUAUAUAUACGCGCUGAUGUCGAGUGGAUUUAGCCGCUGGUCAGUCCAUCUUCUGGACAAACAACGCGAGCGGGAGGAGUAAGGAUACCCUGGCGUCACAUAUAGACACACACGGGCGUAUCCCCAUGCGUAAAGCAAACACGCAUAAAAUUACGUAUUCGUGCGGUUCGCGUAUCAGUCCGCGACCAAAUGUAUUCUUAGAAAAACACGAAACACGAUUGACGAGGGAUGGGUCUAUCUCGCGAUACAAUUUGCCGGACCGUGGUCGAUCAUGAUUGCAACAAUAUCGGAACCUCGUAUCGCCCGAAGUCCUUUCUCGCCUCCACUCUCUUUUUUUUUUAUUAUCUGGAAUCUAGAAUAAUAGGAAAAAAUUA